AUGUGCCCCCUCUCCUCCCGGGACCAGACCCCGCCAGCACUCAGCACGUGGGCCAGCCCUGCCAUGGAGGACAUUCCUUCUCAAGGGGCUCAGGAGGGGCCUGCCGGGCCGGCGAACGGCGGCCAAGGGCGAGACACGGAAUGGCGGAAAUCGGGGACUGGAAUCACCCGGGAAGGUCAGGAGGAGCGCAGCGCCCCCCCCCGCCGUCAGAGAGCCCGCUCUCUGUGUUGUCUCGGCCUCUGCGGGCAGCCUUUGGGCAUUCCUGGGGGAGCCUGGCUCUGCCCAGUGUCUGUCUGGGGUGUGGGUGGGUGUGGGUGUGGGGGGGGGGAGUUGGAUGGCAUCUUCUGCCAUCCCGGAGGACCCCCGGUUGGGGAGAGGGAGGGGUGGCCCCUUGCCCUCUCUCAGCUUUACCGUGAGUGGGGGCAAGAGGAGGCUUUUGCUCCAGCUAGUAGUUGGCCGGAUCCUUCCCCACCUGCCCUUUGGACUCUAGGACUGAAAGCAGGGUCAGGAAAGGUCGGUUGGUAGGUUCCAGGUCUCUGAGGUGGGAAGCCCUUGGAGAGAAAGUUUGGGGCCAAGGGAGGAGAGAACCCGACUUGUGGCGAGUUCCAACCUGGUCUCUGAGGUCCAUGCAGAACCAAGGUGUGCCCCACACAUUCUGUUUCAUCUCCACCUCCCCCCCCCGUUUCUCUAGGUCUGAGCACCCCUUUGGAAAGCCUGGAGCGCUGUUUGAAGGACCUCCCUCUGAACGCACCGAGCCAGCCCUGCUCGCCGACGGUCAGCUUGUACCUGGGCAGCUCCCCGGAGAGGCUCCUCAGGUGGACUCCAGAGAGAGGGAGAUGGACGAGGAAGGGAGAGGGUGAGAGGCGCUCCAGGAUCAGUGCCAGAAGUGGGUGGGUGGGGUGGGGGGCUCAAGAGAGCCCAGACCCACGGAGGGUGACCCGCUAGAAGAGCAGUGAGAGGCGCUCCAGGAUCAGUGCCAGAAGUGGGUGGGUGGGGUGGGGGGCUCAAGAGAGCCCAGACCCACGGAGGAUGACCCGCUAGCAGAGAAGCCCCACAGGUGGUGUUCUCCAUCAACUGCAGGAACCACUGAUGUGGGUCUCUCUUCGCUGAGGAUUGGUCGGUCACCUGCUCUCUCUCAGCCCGACCUACCGCAGAGGACUGUUGUGGGGAUACAGUGGGGAAGAGGGGAGAGCCACGAACCUAGUCAAUGAACUAUUGCAUUUCCCCGACCCAUUUCCUAGCCGCCUCCCCCAGGCCAAGUGGGCAUCCUUCUGGAGCCUCUUGGGUGACAUAAUGGGGGGGGGGUCCAGGGGUCCUGGAGUCUCUAUCCAGGAGCCUCCCACAGAUGUAGGGCUCCUCUCGGCUGGGGUUCCCAGAGGCCCCUCGGAAGCUUUUGCAAGGGAUGCUGAAGGUUGGCACUGAGAAGGUAACCUCGAAAGGCCUGAAGCAGGAGGGUGUCCCUCAGAGCUUGAGAAACCAUUCCCCCCCAUCCCUUGGACCACAGAUCCCAGCAUCCCCCUGCCUGUUGAGCUACUGCCCAGGCUGGGAGUUGUAGUCCGAAAACCAGCCAAGCAAAGAAACUGCNNNNNNNNNNNNNNNNNNNNNNNNNNNNNNNNNNNNNNNNNNNNNNNNNNNNNNNNNNNNNNNNNNNNNNNNNNNNNNNNNNNNNNNNNNCCCCCUUGCAGGGCCUGGAGAGGUGCCUGAAGGAGCUGCCGCUGGGCUCCCCCCGCCAGACGCCGUCCCCCCUGGUCAGCUCCUCCUUCGGCAGCUCCCCAGACGGACGCCACCGGUGGACGCCCGAGGCCGGGAGGUGGGCCAAGAAGGAGCGAGGUGAGAGAGGCCGUUAUGUGUCGGUUGGGCUCUGAGCUGGAAGAACUGGAAUCUCCAGCAGAUUAGACUCACUUGGUGGAGAGCAGAAACUGGAUUUGCACACACAUGCAUCUGUAGGGAGUUUCCCCAUCUAAACAUCACACAAGCUGCCCUGGUGGAUUGCAAGUGGCCUAAACCAGUAAACGACAAAUAAGUAAUGAUCCUCGUAGAACGGCAGGGCUGAAAGGGACCCUCUGCAUCACAGAGUCCAGAUACUCUAUCAGGGAGGCACCGUGGCGGAAUUGACCUCCAAACCACUGAGCUGUCUGGCAGUUCAAUUAACAACACUGUCUAUUGGGCUGUCUUUCUGCUCGUUUUUAGGUAUGUAUUUGAUUUAUAGGUCCCUUCCAGGCAGCUCACAAACAAAUUGAGACAGAUACCGAUGAAAAUGGUAUUUUAAAAAUUAGAAUGUUUUUGCAAGAGCUGUGAUUUUUUUAAGGGUAACAAUGCUAUGUCUACGAACACGGAAGCUAGAUUUUGUCCCCUACCGGUCUUUAUUGGGCUGAGUGCCAGAGGUCUGUGGGUGCGCAGAAGAAAACAUAAAGGCUGAAAAGUAUGAGGACCUCCUGGCUUUUCCCGUCUUCCCUUUCCCCGCUGCUGUCUUUCCCAGGGGUAGCUACCUUUACAGCUUUGCUCUGAAUGCCCAGUCUUCCUUAUCCCUAGAUUUUCCAGAUGGCUCCUUGCCUGACUUUGCCUUCCUGACUCCCUCAUCCAAUCCCCCGGCAUUCCUCAUGCUGUGAAAUAAAAUAGCUUGUUUCUGGUCA
rnacentral:lncRNA from 1 species